rnacentral:tRNA from 1 species
GUGGGUGUAGCUCAGUUGGUUAGAGCACCGGAUUGUGAUUCCGGGGGUCGUGGGUUCAAGUCCCAUCUCCCACCCCA